rnacentral:sRNA from 1 species
AUUUCGCUUUAAAACAUAUCAUGAAACUGGGUAUGUUUUGUCUGCCUGCUCUGGGAUCGCUGGGGCGGGCAUUUUUUU